rnacentral:tRNA from 1 species
GAGGGUUUUUUGAUUGUCGCUGCUAACGAUGAUUUGAAUCAUUUAUUUGUUCAACCCUCUC